rfam:Pelecanus crispus contig92380, whole genome shotgun sequence.
GCUGGGUUAGCUCAGUUGGUUAGAGCAUGGUGCUAAAAAUGUCCAAGUUCACAGGUUCAAUCCCUGCUUACUGCA